CCCUCGUCCUGAGGAAAAGUAGGCGACACCAACCCCCUCGGUGGAUUGAAUCCAGGAUGACAGAGGAUGCUGCUAUUGGAUGUCAAAUUUUGCCAGCAAACACAGAGAGUGACCAGGAAUAUGUUCACCAUUCUACCUUCAUGGGCUGCCAGGUAUUUUUAUUUCCCUUUUUUUU
rnacentral:lncRNA from 1 species